UCGGGGGCCGGGGUCUGCUGGCCGGGUUAGGGCGGGGGGCGCGCCGCGGUGACAGCGCGGUCGCCGCGGGGCCGCAGAGGCCGAACAAUGCGCGCGGGGCCGGGCUGGGCCCCCUCCCCGGGACAAAGCGCAGCGCGGGCCGGGAGCCGCGAGCCGCGAGCGGGGGAGGGGGCGCGGGCCCCGGCCGCCGUGCCGCAGCCCCCCCACCCGCAGGCCUGGAUCCCGGCGGGGACAAAGGGCCCGAUACCGCCCCCCCUUCAACAAGCCCGCCUUCUCCGGACCGGUCCCGCUGCCCUUCUGCCUGGCCAGCUGCCACGGUUUCCCAGAUGAGAGCCUGGGUGCCUGAGCCACGGAUCAAAUUUUGUUUUUCUUUGUGAUUUUUUUUUUUUUUUUUUUUGAGGCUGAGAACCAGGCUCAUAGCAUCCAAUGAAUCCAGUAAACAGCAAACCUGAGGGUGUCUUAGAGCAUCUGCGUCAUUAGGAUUCUAGACUCCUGGAGUCUUUGGCGUCUUAACACCUCGUUCCAGUGCUAGCGGUGUUAGCAUCCUAGCGCCUCGGCGCCUUUCAAAUUCUGACAUCUCCAGCCCUCGGAUUCCCAGGUCUGCCAUCUGGAAUCUUGACAGCAGAGCAUCAUGGGAACUCGGGGCCUCAGAAGCAGGACGUACGUAGGCUAAGGUGACCACCAGCCCCGGCUAGAGGCUCCCUCCCUCCACCGCUUCGGGCAGGCAGCUCUCCGGCCUCGUCCCUUGUUUGAUUUUAGUCUCAGCACUUCCUGCCAUCCUAAAUCCUCUCGGUAAACUUUCUCUGGAUUCAAUGGCGUGGGUGUCGCAGGUGGAGAGCACACUUGGCAUCCUGGGAGCUCAGGAGCUGGGUCGAAGCCUGGCCUGGCCCUCUCCUGUGCCAUCCGUCCCCACCCCGUCCCCUCCCGUGGAGCCGUAGCACAUGGCCUCCGAGUGGCUGAGCACAGCGGCCUCUGCUCGCCGGAUACUUCCGAAUGGCCUUGGCCUCCGCAUUUCAGGGCCUUCCUCUCUGGUCUUGCCCAGCCGGUGGGAGAUGGGGUGCGUUGCGCUCCAAAAUGUAUCCCUUGCUGCAGGGUGCACGGGUGCACCCAGGACACCGGCAGAGGAUGCUGGGACCCCCGCCAAGAGGAAGAAGGGUCUGGGGUGGGCGAGGAGCGGAAGUGAGAAGGCCCCAGAGACCCUUGGGUGGGCCGGGAACUGAGCAGGACAGAAAGGAGCAGAGGGGACAGACAGACAGACGCAAGGAUGGGGAGGAGACGGGCGGGGGGCUGUGGUGGGAGUUUGUUCAUUGAGAUCAAGUCUUCCUCCCAGGGUGACUCACUCCUUCCCCACCCCCACCCCGCCGCCAUGGAAGUUCUCAGCCACUCUGAGAACAGGGGGUCCCCCCACCCCCGGUCAUGAGCCACCCCAAGAACAGGUCUUGUGAAGAUUCUGUCGCUGACCCCCGCCCACCCGGCCUGAGCCCCAGAGCCCGGGGGUGGGGGUCAGGGUCUGCGGUGGAUUCCGAGCCCUCGGCAGCAGCAGGGCUGGGCCCGGGGCUGGGUGAAUGUCGUGCGAGCCUGGCCUGUCCCCGUCUUGGGGAACACAAAGGCAGCUUUCUCUUUCUGGGUGGGGGGAGCUAGAGAUGGCCAGACCUGCCAGCAUCCAAGGGCCUGUGGCACCAGGACCCAAGCACCCACUGGCUGCUGCCGGCGCGGACCGACCACAGGCUUGUAGGAACCACGCACCCCGGCUCUCCCCAGGAACCCAGAGGGCAAGGGGGUGGGCCCAGCGCUGGCCUUCCAGGGGAGGGGGUGCAUGGUGGGCAAGGGCGGUGGGGGAACGGACAGUAGGAGCUCAGGGCAAGCUCGCACCCUCCGCAAGCGGGAAUGUGUCCCCUCGACCCUGCACCCAGGGACAGCCUCUCUGAGCUCCCCUCCCCUUGGCUGGGCCUGAGACCUGGCAUCCGGGGAGUCCCGAGUAUCCCAGGAAUGUGGGGGCCACAGGGAAGACUUUGUGUGUGUGCGAAGCUGCUGACUCACCCCAACGCCCCCACCUGGUGCCUGGGCCCCCAGCUGGGAGGGGGCCCCAGGGCUGAACAGGGCAGCUCUGUGGUUCUGGGGCCGAGGGCUAUGGACUUAGAGGAGGAGAAGGACUGGGGGCCUGGACCAAUGGGUCUGAGGGAGGAGGCGCUGGGGGCCUGGAGCCCUGGGUCUGAGGGAGGAGGGGCUGGGAGUGUUUACUCCCAGGUCUUGAGGAUGGGUGGGGGUCCUGGGAGAGGAAGGGGCUGGGGGGAGUGUUGUCCAACUCCAGGUUUCCAAAGGAGGGGGCUGGGACCCUGCCGCCUAGGUCCUGCGAAUACAGGCGCCUUCACAAGGCUGAGCUGAGCUGGGGAAGAAUUGACGCUUUGUGCAAGGAUGUUCGGACUCCGCCAUUGGUGGGGGGCUGCGGGGGGGUUCGGUCAAGAUGCAGGGAUGUACCACCUCCCUGGGGAGGAGGGGGAACAGAGGCAGGAUGCCAGGAGCCCCCUGGGGAGCCAGCACACAGGGGGUGACUGUGACCUUCCCGCAGCCGUGACCUUGAGACUCCCUUGGGUAUUCGCUGACUCAGGACCCAGGAAGUGCUCCCCCACCCCGCUCAGUCUCCGUGGAAACAUCCACCAGCUGUGUGCUCUGGACCCCUGGCUCCUGAAGGAGGAGGGGGCUGGAAACCCAGGCAGGCUCCCGCGUCUCAGGGGGGAGAAGGCCGGGGGCUCCGACUCCUGGAUUGGAAGGCAGAGGAUGCUGAGAGCCCAGACCCCUGCAGCCUGCUUGAGGAGGGGGUUAGGGGGCUGGGCCCGCGGGUCCCGAGGCGGGAAGUGGCUGCAUCCCUGGGUCUGGGGGCGGAGGGUGCAGGCUCCCGGGUCUCCACGCAUCACCUGCUCAGCCCCUCUCCUGGACACCUUCCCCGUCCCUUUUUCCCAGGCACCAUCCCCAUGACGGCUCCUGGCGGUCAAUACGGUUUAAAGGGCCAGCGCCCCAGUCCCCAAAGCUCAACCCCUCUCUGACCAGAAAGUCCCGCCCCCACCACCCCCAACCCCCGAAACAAAAGCUCCUGAGACAUUAAUAUUCCAGGCACAGCCGCUGUUGCUUGCUGACUCCUUGGGAGGGGGAGGGAGCAAGACAAAAGCCCCCCACCCUCACCCCAUGUGCACCCUCAGGCAGACGGCAGGGCAUAAAUUGGGGGGGGACGGAUCCGGAUGGCUCCUGGGAGAUGAUGACGUUUGCCCCUGACUGGUCUGGGGCCCCUGAGCCUUGUUCUCCACAUCUGUGAAAUGGGGGGCUAGCGCGGGGCCGGCCGUGAGAUCCAGGGUCCAUGCCCAGGCUUCCAGACGUUGCUGAAGGAGCUGGAACGUGCAGGGCAGAUUCCACGUGCGUGAGCGUGUGCCUGGGGCUUGUCCGAGCCCCAGCCACGCGGACGGGGCUCCCUGAGCUGCAGGUCCCGGCUGCUCCCUCGUGGGCGGGCAUGGGCAACCUCCCCAUUUUACAGGUGGGAUGAUGGAGGCACAGAAAGGUGAGGACACGCAACCCCGAGUCCACACAGAUGGGAUCGGUCCAUGAAUGCGGGCCCAAAGGUGAAGUGAGAUCCUGCCUGGCGUGGUGUAGACACCGGGGUGCAGCAGCGGUGACCCCCAUGCCUUUCCGGAGUGCGUGGUCUGGAGAGGGAGGGCAGACAGACAACAGCGCAGCAGAGCCUCUCCACGGCCUUUCCGGGGAGAUAGGAAAUGUUUUUGGGGCUGAAGGGGUGGGGAGUGAGGGAGGACCUCCCUGAGGAGGUGUCUAUGUUCAGAGACCCGGAUGAGAUCAGGACACAGCCCUGGGAUGACGGGGGGAGGGGCACGUAGUGAGAAGGGCAGGUGCAAAGGUCCUGAGGUGGGAACAAGCCCAGUGCGUCUCUGGGGGCCGUGCCCAGCAGUGAGACCGGGGCGAAGUGGGGGCAUGAGAGAGCUCGGAACUGAGGUCUGACAGCGUCCGCGCCAUGCGCACUUUUUGAUGUCAUGAGCAGCCUUUGGUGGGGCUGGGAGUUAGGAGGGGAGGUGGCGUGAUUUGAUUUGCCUUUUUCAAAAGAUCCCUGGGGCUGCUGGGUGGAGUAAGGACUUGGAGGAGCAGGCGUGGGUGCAGAGAGACCCAGGAGUGGACUCUGAAGGGUUGGGUGCGAGGUGGCGUAGGGUGAGGGUGACAGCCGGGGAGGCGAGCACAGGUGAGUGGACGUGGGCUAAGAUGGACAGACCCUGCCGAUGCGAUGGACGGUGGGGUGGAAGGAAAGAGAGAACUUGGGUGAUUUCUCGAUUUUUGACCUGAGCAAUUGAACGGGUGGUUGUGACAUUUUUGCUUUUCUAAUUUUUUUUAACAUUUAUGUAUUUAUUAUCCAAUCUGGGAGCUGGAUCAGAAGCGGAGCAGCCGGGAACUGAACCGGUGCCCAUAUUGGCAGGCGGUGCUUACUUAACCUACUGCAUCACAGCACCGGUCUGAUUUUUUUUUUUAUAUGAAAGGCACAGAGAGCCAGAGUCCUAGAGAGCUCUCUUAUCCAUUAGUUCAUCCCUCAGAUGCCUGCAAUGGCUGGGGCUGGGUCAGGCUGAAGGCAGGAGCAGGGAACCCAAUCUGGGUCUCCCACACGGGGCGACAGGGACCCAUCUGCCUGAGCUAGCACCUGGCCUCCAGGGCGCACGUCAGCAGGAAGCUGGAAUGAGGAGCAGCUCCCAGACUUACAUGCAGGUAGGCAUCCCGCACGGGGCUCAGCUGCCUCGCCGGGCACCGACCCCGUGACCCGUGUGGAGCUGAGAAAACUUAGGCAGGAAAAGGAGGAUUGGAUAUGUUGCGCUUGAUAUUCCAGGGGGCGCUAGAUCGACCUCAGAGAGUGAUCGCACGCGUUCAGAAAGUUCAUGGAAGAUGCGUAUCAUGAAAAAACUCUGCGUGGGUUUUAAUUUUUUUUGCACCAGAAUAAACCAAGGUUUUCCUUCACUUUUCUGGAGUUUCUGAAGUCUCCCUGCACACUUGUUGAUUCCAGCAGAGGCAGGGAUUUGGGGCUCUUACGGCAGCUGCCCGUCUUCUGUCUUUGACACAGGCACCUCCAGCUCCUGGGUUCACCAUCCCUGCUGCCUGUGUCCUUAUGAUCCAAGGUGGCUGCCAGAACUCCGCGCCUCACAUCAUAGUUCCAGGGAAUGCUAGGAAAUCCCCCUCUAGUGACCACGUGGCACUUUGGCUUCUAUGCCACUGGACAAAACUCUGCCCCCUGGCCUCGCCCAGCUGCUCUUUGUGCGGGAUGUAGGGUAACUGUAAAAUGCAGUCGUGGUUCUUUGACCGAGGAGAAAGAAAAGAACAGAGGUUGGGCAAGGAGGUUGGCAGCUGCCGCCGCCCUCCCUGAGAUUAAUGCUUCCUAGCCCUCAGUCUCCAGUUAGGGAACUGUCCUCCGGAUGGGGUGGGCAAUGCGUUGGAGGGGCCAGUGCAGUGGCUAGUGUCCAUCGCCCCAUAAAUCUUUUUUAAAAGAUUUUAUAUAUUUAUUCAUUUAUCAA